GAACCGAAUAAUGCUCACCCCUACAUUCAACACAGAAUAAGAGUUAACCGGUAAACAUUCCCCUCAGAAAAUAAAUAAGGAAUCAACAAUAUUAUCGAAAACUAGCUAUUAGAAAGCAUUCCAGAACCUGAAAUUGUUCACUUGUAUCAGAGGAUGAAAAUUAAAUCAAAGCUACAAGGCUACAGCAAAAGUUUCACACAUAGACGCCUAAGGCCGAUGGUAACAGGCUAUAAGCAAAUUCUAGUUCAGUUCCUAUGAUGCAUUACCUAAGCAAAUUUACUGCCGGGAACAACAAUGCAACAAAAAGAGGAUAAGUCAACUUACCUUUAUGUUAAAGAAUCUCAAUCGUCUACGAUACACAAAAAUCUUUGUCAACACAAUUAAGCUUCAUAAACAAGGUUAAUAUUUUCAAACACAUGGAAGAUCUGUCUAUUAUUAUCAUGAUUUUGUGGAUCUAUAGGUUAAAUAUUAAUUAAUAUCAAAAGUCAAUGCAUUAAGAAUUAUUUUGUUCUUGGUUAGUCAAGGUCUCUAGAGGUGUCAGUAGAGACAAUGGAGGCUUUUGGUAUUGUCAAAUAUUGAGAGAGGAUGAGAGAUCACAGAGUUAGGGUUUAGAUUUCUGGUGCUGUUUAGAUGAACCCAAAAUGACCAUUAAAACAAACACACGCGUGUGCGAGCGCAUUCAAACCAAAUAAUCAAUCUGGCCUGAUUACUGUCAAUCAAACUGAAUUUUCGGGUCGGGUCAGUUUGGUUAAUUCAUAUGGUGGUGAGCUAUUCCAAUACUUCUUUCAUGUCACCGUGAUAAUAUGUGCACGACCAAAUGCCCAAUAGACAAAGGCAGCAGCUUCACAUACAUAAAAGCCAACUCUAUGUAGAUCUAUUCAAAUAUCAUAAUGCAAUGCUUGCAAGGAAAAAUUAUUCUUGAUCAGUGUCAGUGUUUUGUCAAUUAUCAUAAUCAUCAGUAUCCUUCCAAUUCUUAAGGCAUAAAUGACAAAUCUCUAUUAAAAAUCUUAAAAGCAAUCAAGUGCUAUAAAAUAUGUAAUGCAAGUCAAGAGACAUAAGAGAUGCUGAGCAAGGCACACUAAAGGCCACAAAAAACAAUAUAAAUUAUCAAUCACAUAAAUAGUAUCACAGCUGAUCCAAAUUAGAAAAUUUUUUCAAAAAAUCAAAUUGAAAUGAAAGGAAUAAAGAGAGGCUGCCAAAAACCAGACAUCUCUCAUAUUUUAAGCUCCAGGAAUUGAAAAUUAAGAAGUACAAAGGGAAAAUUAGAGAAUCACACAAACGCUCGUGCGCGCGCGCACGCGCGCACACGCACACACAACGAGGGAGGGAGGGAAGAAGGGAGGGAGGGAAGGAGAGAGAUGAACUUUGUCACCUUUCUAAGAAGGGUUAACAAUGUUCAUGUUGCCAAUACCACUUAUAUUUGUAUUCUACAGAAAAGAGAGAUAAAAAGAAAAAAGAGCAAUAUAUUAUUUUUGAACUUUCAAGAUGAAACUUAAAAAAUGCUUACUGGAGGUCACGUUGAGGAUAUACAGAAAUAAAUUGUGGAAAGUAAGGAUAGUAUACUUGGAUAACAAGGUAAAAAACGCUAAAUUUGACAAGGGAAAAUGGUAUUCACAAUCACAUGGAGACACAAAUGAAAUAUGG
rnacentral:misc_RNA from 1 species